rnacentral:ncRNA from 1 species
GACUGAGUGCAUCGUGAGAUGCGCUGAUCGUUAUGCAGAAGUCAGCAGAGGGCAUAGUAGGGAAAACCCGAAGGCC